AACAACCUGUAAUGGUUGAGGUUGUUUCCUUGUUAAACUGUCCAUUGCAAUUUUCAUUUGUGCUGAUGUUCAUACAUUUCAACAGAUAAUGAUUUACCUGAAAUGUUAUGGCUUGCAGAUGAUCAACCCCAAGUCAGAACAGAUGCCCUUCAAACAGUUGGUGUCCUUCGAGAAGACUUAAGCCCAGUGGGAGCUGUUCGUCAAAACCUCGGAAAAGUGGCAUUAGGGAGACUGGACAGGGUGGAGGAGGUACUUCUAUGUGAGAGGGAACUUUACCAAAACUAUGCUGUGCUGGAUUCCCUACCUGUCUUCUUAAAUCUCA